AACGAACGCUGGCGGCAUGCCUAACACAUGCAAGUCGAACGAAGCCUUCGGGCUUAGUGGCGCACGGGUGCGUAACGCGUGGGAAUCUGCCCUUGGGUUCGGAAUAACAGUUAGAAAUGACAGCUAAUACCGGAUGAUGUCUUCGGACCAAAGAUUUAUCGCCCAAGGAUGAGCCCGCGUAGGAUUAGGUAGUUGGUGGGGUAAUGGCCCACCAAGCCGACGAUCCUUAGCUGGUCUGAGAGGAUGAUCAGCCACACUGGGACUGAGACACGGCCCAGACUCCUACGGGAGGCAGCAGUGGGGAAUAUUGGACAAUGGGCGAAAGCCUGAUCCAGCAAUGCCGCGUGAGUGAUGAAGGCCUUCGGGUUGUAAAGCUCUUUUACCAGGGAUGAUAAUGACAGUACCUGGAGAAUAAGCUCCGGCUAACUCCGUGCCAGCCGCCGCGGUAAAAC
rnacentral:rRNA from 1 species